AUUAUCUUUGCUAAAUUGCCGUUUGUUGAUCCACGGUUCAGACAAACUGUGACAGUUCUGACAUUGAUUGGAUGAUUCCAAACAGAUCUUUAGUGCAGCUAUUGACAACACAAACAUUACAGAAAAUGGAGGUAAUUUGUGGUUUUACUGUUUAUAUUUUCUGACUUAAAACAGAG